CAUACCACCCUGAACGCGCCCGAUCUCGUCUGAUCUCGGAAGCUAAGCAGGGUCGGGCCUGGUUAGUACUUGGAUGGGACACCAUCCUAAUAGAUGGUA
rnacentral:rRNA from 1 species